UACACACCGCCCGUCGCUACUACCGAUUGAAUGAUUUAGUGAGGUCUUCGGACUGGUGCGCGGCAAUGUCUCGGCAUUGCCGAUGUUGCCGGGAAGAUGACCAAACUUGAUCAUUUAGAGGAAGUAAAAGUCGUAACAAGGUUUCCGUAGGUGAACCUGCGGAAGGAUCAUUA
rnacentral:rRNA from 1 species